GUUGUAUAGUCAAGUAAUUAAGUGCAUGUGGUGGAUGCCUUGGCAGUCAGAGGCGAUGAAAGACGUGAUAGCCUGCGAAAAGCUCCGGGGAGGCGGCAAAUAUCCUUUGAUCCGGAGAUGUCUGAAUGGGGGAACCCACCUACUUUAAGGUAGGUAUUGCAACAUGAAUACAUAGUGUUGCAAGGCGAACGAGGGGAAGUGAAACAUCUCAGUACCCUUAGGAAAAGAAAUCAAUUGAGAUUCCCUCAGUAGCGGCGAGCGAACGGGGAUCAGCCCAUUAAGUUAUGUGUGUUUUAGUGGAACGCUCUGGGAAGUGCGAACGUAGAGGGUGAUAUUCCCGUACACGAAAGGGCACACAUAAUGAUGACGAGUAGGGCGAGGCACGUGAAACCUUGUCUGAAUAUGGGGGGACCAUCCUCCAAGGCUAAAUACUCCUGACUGACCGAUAGUGAACCAGUACCGUGAGGGAAAGGCGAAAAGAACCCCUGUGAGGGGAGUGAAAUAGAUCCUGAAACCGCAUGCAUACAAGCAGUGGGAGCACCUUCGUGGUGUGACUGCGUACCUUUUGUAUAAUGGGUCAGCGACUUAUAUUCAGUAGCAAGGUUAACCGUAUAGGGGAGCCGUAGAGAAAUCGAGUCUUAAUAGGGCGUUUAGUUGCUGGGUAUAGACCCGAAACCAGGCGAUCUAUCCAUGAGCAGGUUGAAGGUUGGGUAACACUAACUGGAGGACCGAACCCACUGUCGUUGAAAAGCCAGGGGAUGACUUGUGGAUAGGGGUGAAAGGCUAAUCAAGCCUGGUGAUAGCUGGUUCUCCCCGAAAGCUAUUUAGGUAGCGCCUCGGACGAAUACCAUAGGGGGUAGAGCACUGUUUCGGCUAGGGGGUCAUCCCGACUUACCAAACCGAUGCAAACUCCGAAUACCUAUGAGUACUAUCCGGGAGACAGACUGCGGGUGCUAACGUCCGUAGUCAAGAGGAAAACAAUCCAGACCGCCAGCUAAGGCCCCAAAAUCAUAGUUAAGUGGGAAACGAUGUGGGAAGGCAUAGACAGCUAGGAGGUUGGCUUANNNNNNNNNNNNNNNNNNNNNNNNNNNNGAAGCAGCCACCCUUUAAAGAAAGCGUAAUAGCUCACUAGUCGAGUCGGCCUGCGCGGAAGAUGUAACGGGGCUAAAACUAUGUGCCGAAGCUGCGGAUGUAUACUUUGUAUACGUGGUAGGGGAGCGUUCUGUAAGCCGAUGAAGGUGUGUUGAGAAGCAUGCUGGAGGUAUCAGAAGUGCGAAUGCUGACGUGAGUAACGACAAAACGGGUGAAAAACCCGUUCGCCGAAAGACCAAGGGUUCCAGUCCAACGUUAA
rnacentral:rRNA from 1 species